rnacentral:rRNA from 1 species
CCGGAGAAUGUUAUCACGGGAGACACACGGCGGGUGCUAACGUCCGUCGUGAAGAGGGAAACAACCCAGACCGCCAGCUAAGGUCCCAAAGUCAUGGUUAAGUGGGAAACGAUGUGGGAAGGCCCAGACAGCCAGGAUGUUGGCUUAGAAGCAGCCAUCAUUUAAAGAAAGCGUAAUAGCUCACUGGUCGAGUCGGCCUGCGCGGAAGAUGUAACGGGGCUAAACCAUGCACCGAAGCUGCGGCAGCGACGCUGAUGCGUUGUUGGGUAGGGGAGCGUUCUGUAAGCCUGCGAAGGUGACCUGUGAGGGUUGCUGGAGGUAUCAGAAGUGCGAAUGCUGACAUAAGUAACGAUAAAGCGGGUGAAAAGCCCGCUCGCCGGAAGACCAAGGGUUCCUGUCCAACGUUAAUCGGGGCAGGGUGAGUCGACCCCUAAGGCGAGGCCGAAAGGCGUAGUCGAUGGGAAACGGGUUAAUAUUCCCGUACUUGGUGUUACUGCGAAGGGGGGACGGAGAAGGCUAUGUUGGCCGGGCGACGGUUGUCCCGGUUUAAGCGUGUAGGUGUGUGUUCCAGGUAAAUCCGGUUCACUUUAACACUGAGGCGUGACGACGAGGCACUACGGUGCUGAAGCAACAAAUGCCCUGCUUCCAGGAAAAGCCUCUAAGCAUCAGGUAACACGAAAUCGUACCCCAAACCGACACAGGUGGUCAGGUAGAGAAUACCAAGGCGCUUGAGAGAACUCGGGUGAAGGAACUAGGCAAAAUGGUGCCGUAACUUCGGGAGAAGGCACGCUGACACGUAGGUGAAGUGAUUUACUCAUGGAGCUGAAGUCAGUCGAAGAUACCAGCUGGCUGCAACUGUUUAUUAAAAACACAGCACUGUGCAAACACGAAAGUGGACGUAUACGGUGUGACGCCUGCCCGGUGCCGGAAGGUUAAUUGAUGGGGUCAGCGUAAGCGAAGCUCCUGAUCGAAGCCCCGGUAAACGGCGGCCGUAACUAUAACGGUCCUAAGGUAGCGAAAUUCCUUGUCGGGUAAGUUCCGACCUGCACGAAUGGCGUAAUGAUGGCCAGGCUGUCUCCACCCGAGACUCAGUGAAAUUGAACUCGCUGUGAAGAUGCAGUGUACCCGCGGCAAGACGGAAAGACCCCGUGAACCUUUACUAUAGCUUGACACUGAACAUUGAGCCUUGAUGUGUAGGAU